rnacentral:lncRNA from 1 species
CUCUCCCACCCAGCCAGCGUUCAGUAUCCAGAGCUUGCAUCUGCCCAUCUGGGCCAGGCUCGGUGCAUCUGUCCCCAUGGAGCUGUCCCGGUGGAAGUUCUGCCCCCACUGCUUUGUCCUAAAGCUCCCUAAUUCUUCUUUUCAGAAUCUUUGCCCGCAUAUAUCCUCUGGACAGGGCUGGAACAGGACAGCAACUGUCAGAGUGUGCCCUGCAGAAUGGCUGGAGUCAAUGGGAAUGAAGCGGGAGAGAGAGAGUGGAUUCCAUGGUCAAGUGAGACUGAGAAGCUCUGGGCAAGGUUCCAGGAAACGGCGGGGCCCUAGAGCAUGAGGUAGGCAACCUGCUGAGACCCCCAGUUGCCGACCGAGGCUGGCCUGCUCUUGAACCUGGUUCUGCCUCUUCCCAGCUGUUUGGCCCUGCAAGACAGAUGAGGAUGUUAAUUUAACCUGCAGCACGUGACUGUGUUUGAAACACCAAGCCUCCUCCCAGCAAUGCCAGCAGCUCACUUUGUGACACUGAACCGUACAAUGCUCUUGGCCUUUCCAUCUGCAGAGUGGGCACAGACACCUAUAACUAAUUGAAAGAGAUAAUGUCUAAGAGAGCUGCCAGAUCCAGGAUUCUUUUCUCUUGAGCAAGACAUUUCAAUGACUCUUCUGGACUUGACUUUCUCCUCUGUAAAACAGGUUUACCACCUUUCAUUGAAUUCAACACAGGAUUCAACAAACAUCAGCCAAAAGGCCCAUUUUUGCACAGCCCAUGCGCUAAGACUAUUUCCUCACAUUUUUAAAUGGUUAAAAAAUCAAAAGAAUAACAUUUCAUGCCGCAUGAAAAUUAUGAAAUUAAAAUUCCAUAAAUAAAAUGUUAUGAGAACAUAGCCACGCAUGUUUAUUUAAGCAAUAUCUAUGGUUGCACAGCAGCAGAGUUAAGUAGUUGCAAUAGAGACUGGAUGGCCUGGGAAGCCAAAAAUAUUUACUAUUUGACCUUUUAUGUAAAAAGAUUGCUGACCCCCAAUUUCAUCCAUCAUCAUUUGUAAGAUGCAUGAUUUUUAUAUACAACUAAAGAAC